CCUGGUUGAUUCUGCCAGUAGUCAUAUGCUUGUCUUAAAGAUUAAGCCAUGCAUGUCUAAGUAUAAGCAAUUAUACAGCGAAACUGCGAAUGGCUCAUUAAAUCAGUUAUCGUUUAUUUGAUAGUACCUUACUACAUGGAUAACCGUGGUAAUUCUAGAGCUAAUACAUGCUAAAAACCCCGACUUCGGAAGGGGUGUAUUUAUUAGAUUAAAAACCAAUGCCCUUCGGGGCUCACUGGUGAUUCAUGAUAACUUCUCGAAUCGCACGGCCUUGCGCCGGCGAUGGUUCAUUCAAAUUUCUGCCCUAUCAACUUUCGACGGCUGGGUCUUGGCCAGCCGUGGUGACAACGGGUAACGGAGGGUUAGGGCUCGACCCCGGAGAAAACGCCUGAGAAACGGCGUUUACAUCCAAGGAAGGCAGCAGGCGCGCAAAUUACCCAAUGCCGACACGGCGAGGUAGUGACGAGAAAUACUGAUACAGGGCUCUUUUGGGUCUUGUAAUUGGAAUGAGUACAAUUUAAAUCUCUUAACGAGGAACAAUUGGAGGGCAAGUCUGGUGCCAGCAGCCGCGGUAAUUCCAGCUCCAAUAGCGUAUAUUAAAGUUGUUGCAGUUAAAAAGCUCGUAGUUGAACCUUGGGCCUGGCUGGCCGGUCCGCCUCACCGCGUGCACUGGUCCGGCCGGGCCUUUCCCUCUGGGGAACCGCAUGCCCUUCACUGGGCGUGUCGGGGAACCAGGACUUUUACUUUGAAAAAAUUAGAGUGUUCAAAGCAGGCCUAUGCUCGAAUACAUUAGCAUGGAAUAAUAGAAUAGGACGUGUGGUUCUAUUUUGUUGGUUUCUAGGACCGCCGUAAUGAUUAAUAGGGACAGUCGGGGGCAUCAGUAUUCAAUUGUCAGAGGUGAAAUUCUUGGAUUUAUUGAAGACUAACUACUGCGAAAGCAUUUGCCAAGGAUGUUUUCAUUAAUCAGGAACGAAAGUUAGGGGAUCGAAGACGAUCAGAUACCGUCGUAGUCUUAACCAUAAACUAUGCCGACUAGGGAUCG
rnacentral:rRNA from 1 species